rnacentral:rRNA from 1 species
GACGAACCGUGCGAACGUUGUUCGGAAUCACUGGGCUUAAAGGGCGCGUAGGAGGGUCGGCAAGUCCGGGGUGAAAGCCCCCAGCUCAACUGGGGAAGUGCCUUGGAAACUGCCGGUCUCGAGGGAGGUAGGGGCCUGUGGAACUUCGGGUGGAGCGGUGAAAUGCGUUGAUAUCCGAAGGAACGCCGGUGGCGAAAGCGACGGGCUGGAUCUCUUCUGACGCUGAGGCGCGAAAGCUAGGGUAGCGAACGGG